ensembl:lncRNA
CUUCCCUGUCCCUCCCUGCCCCCUAGUUGGUGGGUGCGGGUGGAGGGUGAGGCCCUAGUUGGGCUCAGAGAUCCCGUCCCAGCUUAGGGAGGAGGGGCCUGUCCAGGGACCCUGAGUGUCAGGGACACGCCCUGUCCACCCUGGCCCCUCAGAAUUCUGUCAGCCCAUUUUGCCUUCCUUCUGUCUUGGCCCUGCUCUAGUUCUAUUUCUGUCACACACACACACACACACACACACACACGAACCCCCGCCCCAGCCGGCUUCCUGGGCUCUUCGAUGGCUCCACCCUCCCACCCCUCCCUCCUCUGCCCUUAAGUCCCUGACUCCCAGGGGAUGCUGAGUCUGGCCUGCUGUGCAGUGGACUGCUAGCUGGGGCUCUGCCGCAGGCUCUCAGGUGAGGGGCUCCGGGCGCCUGGGCUGAGGAAAGAGGGGAGACCUGCAGGCAGAACUCGCUCCAGGCUGGUGGGCGAGCCUGCUUCUCCAGAUCACUUUUCCUCACACCCUCCCUCCCACCGCGUUACAGUGGCAGAGCCUUGGAGCACCAUGGCUUCCGCUAAGGACAUCGACGAUUUCAUCAAUUCCCUCAAAGCCAAAUUGAGCAUAUGCAGUGCAGAUAUGGCUGACGCCGUGGAUGCUCAAGUUAACAACUCGGAAUCCUGUCCAUUGCUUCGUGAAACACUGCAGGAGUUGCGUCGCAGAGUCUGUGAGCCCUCUGGCUCCUACAGUCCCCCAGGCCGGAACCAGCCCUUUGACUCCUCCACUUCAAGGGAUUGGUAUGACUGGACACUUGAGCUAUUUAAAGAGCUCCUGCGGCGACUGCAGCAGAAGUUUCAGAAAGCCCUGGAGUGGCUUCAUCAGAUAGCGGCUGCCUGCCUACAGGGCUUGCGCAUAGCGGCUGAGGCCGUCUGGAGAGUGUUGAAUGAUUUUUGCUCCUCUCUGGAGCAGCUCUUCAGGAGCCUCAUCCAGGUCUAGAAGCCCCAAGGGGUCCCCAGGGAGCUUGGCCUCAUCUAGACGCCUCAAUUUCCCCUUCUCACAGGGCAUCUUCUGAUGCACCCUUUACCCUCCUGCUCACCCUUGACCCAUCCUCAUAGCCUGCCUCACCCCCUCCCCUUCAGGGAGGGCACCACCCAGCCCAUCUAACUCUCCCUGCCUGAAUUUUCCUGCACCAGGUCUGGCCUGCCUGUCACUGUAGUGCUGAUGUCCUAAUAAAAGUCAGUUGACCCAAAUGGAGUGUCUGUGUGGAUGAGAGGCUGGGGGUCGGAUGGCUACAGGCAGAGGUGGUGGGUCAGAUGGAUCCAGGUGGGGGUCCUGGUGCUGGAUGGAUAAGCAAAUGCCACUGGACUCUCUAAUCUGUAACUGGGAAUGAAGGAGGAAACAGACAGAACAGGCUCCAUCUUGCAAGCAGGACUCCAUCUUGGGUCAGACUGUGGACUUUGAGCUAUGUGCCCAGUAUCUAUGGAAACGAUGUACCAACUGGAAAACCCCCCACCGCCGAUGGAAGAGCCCCAGGGCUCGUACCUAGACUCUCCAUUGCCUAAAAGAAUUCCCUAAUUAUCUGGGUAACCAAAUAGAAUCAUGAAUUCUAUUAUGCUUAUUGGGAUAUGACCACAGGCUUAUUGAUAAUUGUCCACUGUUAACUACUUAGCUCAAGGCAUAUGAUCACAGGUUAACUUUGAUUGUAUCUUUCUUUUUCCUUUAUUUCAGACUAGUUUCAGAGAAUUUGGGGAGGUGGGUUUGAGCAUGUACAUUUAGGGUAUAUAAGGGGUCCUUGGCUAAGAGGAGACUCUACCUCAGGCCCCCUGGUGUAAUAAACUGCACUCCACUAUCUGCAUUGUCUUUCUGAGUGAGUUUGUUUCCCAGAACGCGUGGCUACAACAGGAACACUGGUCGUGGACUGACUGGCGGGGAGGACUGGACCAUCACACUCCUAGGGCCCAGGGAGCUCGGGGGAGGGGCUUUGACCCCUCUUGUCUUCUCCUGACC